AUCAUAAGCCUUCACCAAUUAAACACGUCUCCUACAACGCCUUCCAUCAUUUUAAUCCACCAACAAGUUUUAAUAUUUCAUGGCGACCCUGCCAGUCGGUGCGUGCCUAAACUAAGUGCGCGCACCGGCUGGGCACCGAUGAAGACGAUGAUCACACGAUUUCCAAGAAGAUUAAUAUCAAGAUUCAAGAACCAGCUAGAAAAAAGAAGAGAAUAAUUCCACGUCCCGAUUUAAAUAUCAAGAAACACUAACAUUAAGAAAGAAG